GAUGAACGCGUAGCGGGAGGCUUUAACACAUGCAAGUCGAGGGGCAGCAUAGGGUAGCAAUACUCUGAUGGCGACCGGCAAACGGGUGAGUAACGCGUAUGCAACCUACCCUGUACAGGGGGAUAACCCGGAGAAAUUUCGGACUAAUAUCCCGUAAUAAUAUCCGGAGGCAUCUUUGGAUAUUUAAAGUUCCGACGGUACGGGAUGGGCAUGCGUAACAUUAACUGGUUGGUAAGGUAACGGCUUACCAAGGCUAUGAUGUUUAGGGGUCCUGAGAGGGUGGUCCCCCACACUGGUACUGAGACACGGACCAGACUCCUACGGGAGGCAGCAGUGAGGAAUAUUGGUCAAUGGGCGCAAGCCUGAACCAGCCAUCCCGCGUGCAGGAAGACGGCCCUAUGGGUUGUAAACUGCUUUUCCAGGGAGAGAAACUUACGCACGUGUUGCGUGACUGACGGUACCCUGGGAAUAAGCAUCGGCUAACUCCGUG
rnacentral:rRNA from 1 species